rnacentral:rRNA from 1 species
AGCGACUCUCUGGUCUGUACUGACGCUGAGGAGCGAAAGCGUGGGGAGCGAACAGGAUUAGAUACCCUGGUAGUCCACGCCGUAAACGAUGAGUGCUAGGUGUUAGGGGGUUUCAGCCCCUUAGUGCCGAAGUUAACACAUUAAGCACUCCGCCUGGGGAGUACGGCCGCAGGGCUGAAACUCAAAAGAAUUGACGGGGGCCCGCACAAGCGGUGGAGCAUGUGGUUUAAUUCGACGCAACGCGAAGAACCUUACCAGGUCUUGACAUCCUCUG